ACUUCUGAGGGGCGUUGCGAGGCGUGUUAACCAUACAGGCUCCCAGGCUCAGAACUUUGCAGUAAACGACGCUCACCAAUA
rnacentral:ncRNA from 2 species